rnacentral:rRNA from 1 species
AGCAGCCGCGGUAAUUCCAGCUCCAAUAGCGUAUAUUAAAGUUGUUGCAGUUAAAAAGCUCGUAGUUGAAUUUCGGGGUUAGUAGGUUGGUCAUGCCUCUGGUAUGUACUGGUCUCACUGAUUCCUCCUUCCUGAUGAGCCGUAAUGCCAUUAAUUUGGUGUUGCGGGGAAUUUGGACUGUUACUUUGAAAAAGUUAGAGUGUUUAAAGCAAGCUAACGCUUGAAUACAUUAGCAUGGAAUAAUGAAAUAGGACGUUCGAUCCUAUUUUGUUGGUUUCUAGGAUUGACGUAAUGAUUAAUAGGGAUAGUUGGGGGCAUUAGUAUUCAAUUGUCAGAGGUGAAAUUCUUGGAUUUAUUGAAGACUAACUACUGCGAAAGCAUUUGCCAAGGAUGUUUUCAUUAAUCAAGAACGAAAGUUAGGGGAUCGAAGACGAUCAGAUACCGUCGUAGUCUUAACCAUAAACUAUGCCGACUAGGGAUCGGAUGAUGUUAAUUUUUUAAUGACUCAUUCGGCGCCUUACG